UUUCCUACGGGAGGCAGCAGCAGUAGGGAAUUUUCGUCAAUGGGCGCAAGCCUGAACGAGCGCUGCCGCGUGAGUGAAGAAGGCCUUCGGGUCGUAAAGCUCUGUUGCGGGGGAAAAAAGGCAGCAUCAGGAAAUGGGCGCUGACUGAUGGUGCCCCGCCAGAAAGUCACGGCUAACUACGUGCCAGCAGCCGCGGUAAUACGUAGGUGGCGAGCGUUAUCCGGACUGAUUGGGCGUAAAGGGUGCGCAGGCGGGCUUGCAAGUCGGG
rnacentral:rRNA from 1 species